rnacentral:rRNA from 1 species
GAGUUUGAUCAUGGCUCAGGACGAACGCUGGCGGCGUGCUUAACACAUGCAAGUCACGGGGGCCCGCAAGGGCAACCGGCGAACGGGUGCGUAACACGUGAGCAAUCUGCCGAUUUCUGGGGGAUAGCCGGCCCAACGGCCGGGUAAUACCGCAUACGCUCAUUUGGGGGAGUCCCCGAGUGAGGAAACCUCCGGGGGAAAUCGAGGAGCUCGCGGCCUAUCAGCUAGUUGGCGGGGUAACGGCCCACCAAGGCUCUGACGGGUAGCUGGUCUGAGAGGAUGGCCAGCCACAUUGGGACUGAGAGACGGCCCAGACUCCUACGGGAGGCAGCAGUGGGGAAUCUUGCGCAAUGGCCGAAAGGCUGGCGCAGCGACGCCGCGUGUGGGAGGAAGCCCUUC